AGUGUCGAGCCGAAGAAACGCGC
rnacentral:miRNA from 1 species